GACGUAGGGCGCGAGCGUUGUCCGGAUUUAUUGGGCGUAAAGAGCUCGUAGGCGGCUUGUCGCGUCGUCUGUGAAAUCCCGCGGCUCAACCGCGGGUCUGCAGUCGAUACGGGCAGGCUAGAGUUCGGUAGGGGAGACUGGAAUUCCUGGUGUAGCGGUGAAAUGCGCAGAUAUCGGGAAGAACACCCGUGGCGAAGGCGGCUCUCUGGGACGGUACUGACGCUGAGGCGCGAAAGCCAGGGGAGCAAAGCGGG
rnacentral:rRNA from 1 species